AUAUUGGACAAUGGUCGCAAGACUGAUCCAGCCAUGCCGCGUGCAGGAUGACUGCCCUAUGGGUUGUAAACUGCUUUUGUACGGGAAUAAACCCUUCUACGUGUAGGAGGCUGAAUGUACCGUAAGAAUAAGGGUCGGCUAACUUCGUGCCAGCAGCCGCGGUAAUACGAAGGACCCAAGCGUUAUCCGGAUUCAUUGGGUUUAAAGGGUGCGUAGGCGGAAUGAUAAGUCAGUGGUGAAAGCCUGUUGCUUAACAACAGAACUGCCAUUGAUACUGUCAAUCUUGAAUAUGUUUGAUGUGGGCGGAAUAUGACAUGUAGCGGUGAAAUGCUUAGAUAUGUCAUAGAACACCGAUUGCGAAGGCAGCUCACAAAGCCAUUAUUGACGCUGAGGCACGAAAGCGUGGGGAUCAAACAGG
rnacentral:rRNA from 1 species